rnacentral:rRNA from 1 species
CCCUUAGAUGCUCUGGGCCGCACGCGCGCUACACUGGUCGAUGCAACGAGUUUCUUUCCUUGGCCGACAGGCCUGGGCAAUCUUUGAACAUCGAUCGUGAUCGGGAUAGAUUCUUGUAAUUUUUGAUCUUAAACGAGGAAUUCCUAGUAAACGCAAGUCAUCGGCUUGCAUUGAUUACGUCCCUGCCCUUUGUACACACCGCCCGUCGCACCUACCGAUUGAAUGGUCCGGUGAAAUCUCCGGACUGGCGUGAGUCGGAGCAAUCUGACAAACGCCGGAAAGUUGAUUAAACCUUACCAUUUAGAGGAAGGUGAAGUCGUAACA